rnacentral:lncRNA from 1 species
GCUGUCAUUUUGCAUCUAACAAGUUAUUUUAUCAAGUAGCUAUAUACAAUAAGUGACAUAGAAAAAUUCUCCAACUCUUGAUCAUAAUGUAAUCUGCCAUGAGCGAAGAUAUUGACCACCAUAAUGUAUGACCUAAAAUGACAAACAAAAUAAAUAUAAAUAAAUAACCACAUAUGAAAUUCAUUAUUAGUCAGGAAAAUAACUGUCUGGUAUUUGCAUACAUAUAUACUAGCAUAUGAAGGAAUUGCUAUUACAAAAUCCCAUCAAAAGCAAAUGUACAAGAAGUUCGUUGUUAAUGUUAUUUCAGAAAAAAUAGAUGCUUACUUGAAGAUCUCAAAGUAGCAUAGGCUCAGAAUCAACUUCACAAAUACAUGAAUAUUUGCCAAACAACCUUAUACGAGCGUGUUCUAAAAGGUCCCAAUAUUUCUCAAGUCUAUUUGUUCUUAACACUACCAAUCCAACAAGUAGAUAGCACGAGCGUGUUCUAAAAGGUCCCAAUAUUUUUCAUAUGGAUUGCAGAGUUCUCAAGUCUAUUUGUUCUUAACACUACUAAUCCAACAAGUAGAUAGCACAAAUAUGUGGAGAACUUGCUAUUUUUGUCUACUAGAAUGGUCAUAUUCACGUUUCUUUUUAGAAAAAGAAAGAAACCCAGAGAAAUAUGCAAAACCAAAGACCUGACAAGGAUGCAAAAGUGAUAUUUUUACUCCAAUUUCAAGAUUCUACUCCUCCGCUUGCUUAAAGAGGCACACGAAGAUAGAGAGCAAAGGUUGUGUCACAAAUAUUUACAGACAAAAUGCUAAUAUACAUAGUAAUCUCUCCUUCUAUUUUCAUGUUAUAUCCACAUAAUUCACACCUAGUAAAAUUAAUGAUGAAAAUAAAUAUAUAAUGUUUCCCCUAAAAACCAUCGCAAUAUAACUAAACUCAAAAUGAAUUAAGUCCUUAUUAAUAGGAAUACGAGCACACAUUUCCUGAAGUUCACUGGAAAACAAAAUAGAUUGUUUCUACCUCUAUCUCUUCUCUUAUGAGAACCUUCAAAUUCUUUUCUCAAUAUCAAGUUCAUAGGACAUGCCAAAAAAUUAGGUGGUUCUUACAUGAUUAAGACUUAAAGUUUUACAAAAGAUGCUAGAAAAAAUUUCUGAUAGAGGAUCUGAAAAAAUGUUGUUGAUGGUCUUUUUUGGCGGUGAAGGUGCUAGAGUACUAUCAAGGUAUUAAAUUUUAGAUGUGUGGAGAAGCCUAAAUAUCUUCUCGUUCAUAAUAAUCUACAUAUUUAAGGUUUGAUUACUAUCUUUGAAAUUAGGAUUGCCAAAUCUGUCAUUUCGAAUGUCCCUAAAACCUCCAAUCAGUUGGUAACCAAACAACAAUAUUUGGCAGUUCAAGCGUAAGAUGCCAUUUCGAAUGUCCCUAAAACCUCCAAUCAGUUGGUAACCAAACAAUAAUAUUUGGCAGUUCAAGUAUUAUAAUUUCAACCAAGUUAAAACAGGAAUCUUCCUACACAAGGUAGUUUAAAAAAAUGGACUAAUCUUUAAGACUAGCGUAAAGAGAUAUAAAGACCACUAACAACACAUUGAUUUUUAUCUUUUCUAAACAUAAUGUAGUAAGUAAUUACUAGCAAUACAAAGAACCUAUUUUGCAUAGUUCAUACUAUUUGCUUCCUAUGAGUUCUCAACAAUUUCAAGAACAGAGAUUAGCAAAAUAUACAUUCAAAUAUGAAACGAAGAAGAAAUUGUUACUUUAAAAUGGCAUCCCUGACGCUUGUAUUAUUUGUUUUGCAAACUAUCUUCUGCUAUUAUAUGUUUUGGGAUCUCCUAUUCUCAAGAUUCUAUGGUUAUCACAAAUAAUGGAGAAGCUACCAUCGAUAUUCAGAUAUUCUAACAAAAAAUUAAGACUUUAACUUUAAUUGUAGGGACAAGUAUGAAAACUCAUCUCAUAAAAAUUACACAAAAAGGAGCCGGAGCUCAUUGUUACAUGAGUAAGAGCUAAUCACAAAGAAAAGGAACUACAUAUGAUUCUUGGAGCAGAAAAUUAAAUUUUUAUAUUGGUAAACAAUAUAUGAAAAUGAAGUCAAAGACAUUAUUUAACAAGAAAUAGCGAUCAACUGCUAUAUCUUGUUUCAUUGAUUCCAAAUAUGAAGUAUUACCACAACUAACUAGAGAGAAUGAAUGUAGGGUAGGUCAUAAACAAGAUACAAGAAACUUACCCCGAUUCUAACAUAAUGGUUCUAUCCCAACUUUGAUGAAAACUUUCCCAAAACAGUAUCUAUGUCCUGUCUCGAGCCUCAAUAUCCUAGACAAGAGGAGGGUAGUAUAUUUGUAUAAAAAAAAUAAUACUAUGUGUAUACUAAUAUUAAGUGCAUUAGAAAUGAUCAUUCUCUUCAUCUUGUCAUAUGUGGAUGGAACACCUUCAUAAAUUACUUACAGGUGUUGCGCUGCAACUUACUUUAGCAUAUUUUGCUAUGUAUAGACUAAUACAUGUAUCGUUAGACCUAGUUACAAGAAAUCUGGAAAAUAAACUAAAAUGUAUGCAUAAGAUUUAUUCAAAUUUAAAAUUUUAAAAAAAACUAAGUGAUUUAAGUAGAGAGAGAAGCAGAUAAUCAAUACAUGUGAGUUGUGUUGUACUUUAUCCCCCUUUCUUCAAUCUCGGUGUGCUUUUAAUAUGAUGUUGUUUUAAGCAACUCUAUUUGUGAUAUUUCUUUUCUUGUUUCCGAUGUCUAUUAUGUUGUAACAGUAUCACUAGUUCAUAGACACAUAUUAAACUUUUACUUGAAUGGAGAGUUUAAUUAUUUUCAAAUAUUUGGAGAUAUAAUAUUGGUCAGCCAAGUUUACUACUCUUUGAAAGAAUCUGCUCAUAUCUUCAUGGUACAAUUUCCCUCAUUUUUCGAUUCUUAAUCCAAGUUAAAGCAGAAUUAUCUAAAUAUGUAUCUACUUACGAGAAUUAAUAUCAACUUACACUUAAUUCCUUUUUCUCAACUUUCAUUCCAAUCAUUAUAAACCCAAUAAAACUAUAAUACCAGUCAUACGUCUAAAGAAAUGUGAGACCCAAAUCUCUUAAAUGGAAAGAAUAGGCAUACCAUGUUUAUAAGAUAAUCCUAUAUGUUUCAUAAUAUACUUCUUGUAUAGAGGAUUCACGGUAAAGAUCCCACCUUUAACACAAACUCUUUUUCUUUCUAUUCUCUCGCCCCUCUCUAUAAAGUAAUAUUCUUAGUUCCCUAAUCUUCAAUUAAUAACCCCACUGCAAGUAAUAAGAAGUAAUUCAAUUACCCUCGAUAAUUUACAGUUAAAAUAUUAGGGUUAAUUGCAAAAACAAGAUAUUGGGUAUGUGGAAAAUAAUCAUCAUCUUCUUCAUACGUACCAGACAAUAAAAAUCAUCUCAACAAAGUUAAAAUGAAGAUAGGUUGUCUUACCAUGAGAUAGUAGCGGCAAUAGUGAAACGGCGGCUGAGCAGUGGGCGCUAAGAAUCAUUACCUAGGGAUGGAUGGUGACGAUCGACGGCGAGACAGAGAAGGCAUGAUGGCAGCAAAAAGUUACUUUGGGAUGGUGGUCAACCAUAAUGAGAAGAGAGCAGCGGCGAUGAUAAACUUC